rnacentral:rRNA from 1 species
UUCCCGGUUGAUCCUGCCGGACCUGACUGCUAUCGGAUUGAUACUAAGCCAUGCGAGUCAUUGUAGCAAUACAAGGCAGACGGCUCAGUAACGCGUAGUCAACCUACCCUAUGGACGGGAAUAACCUCGGGAAACUGAGAAUAAUGCCCGAUAGAACAUUAUGCCUGGAAUGGUUUAUGUUCCAAAUGAUUUAUCGCCGUAGGAUGGGACUGCGGCCUAUCAGUUUGUUGGUGAGGUAAUGGCCCACCAAGACUAUUACAGGUACGGGCUCUGAGAGGAGUAGCCCGGAGAUGGGUACUGAGACACGGACCCAGGCCCUAUGGGGCGCAGCAGGCGAGAAAACUUUGCAAUGUGCGAAAGCACGACAAGGUUAAUCCGAGUGGUUUCUGCUAAAGGAACCUUUUGUCGGUCCUAAAAACACCGAUGAAUAAGGGGUGGGCAAGUUCUGGUGUCAGCCGCCGCGGUAAAACCAGCACCUCAAGUUGUCAGGAUGAUUAUUGGGCCUAAAGCAUCCGUAGCCGGCUCUGUUAGUUUUCGGUUAAAUCUGUACGCUCAACGUACAGGCUGCCGGGAAUACUGCAGAGCUAGGGAGUGGGAGAGGUAGACGGUACUCGGUAGGAAGGGGUAAAAUCCUUUGAUCUAUUGAUGACCACCUGUGGCGAAGGCGGUCUACCAGAACACGUCCGACGGUGAGGGAUGAAAGCUGGGGGAGCAAACCGGAUUAGAUACCCGGGUAGUCCCAGCUGUAAACUAUGCAAACUCAGUGAUGCAUUGGCUUGUGGCCAAUGCAGUGCUGCAGGGAAGCCGUUAAGUUUGCCGCCUGGGAAGUACGUACGCAAGUAUGAAACUUAAAGGAAUUGGCGGGGGAGCACCACAAGGGGUGAAGCCUGCGGUUCAAUUGGAGUCAACGCCGGGAA